ACUCCUACGGGAGGCAGCAGUGGGGAAUAUUGCACAAUGGGGGAAACCCUGAUGCAGCCAUGCCGCGUGUGUGAAGAAGGCCUUCGGGUUGUAAAGCACUUUCAGUAGGGAGGAAGGUAGUGUAGUUAACACCUGCAUUAUUUGUACGUUACCUACAGAAGAAGCACCGGCUAACUCCGUGCCAGCAGCCGCGGUAAUACGGAGGGUGCGAGCGUUAAUCGGAAUUACGUGGGCGUAAAGCGCAUGCAGGCGGCCUGUUAAGUCAGAUGUGAAAGCCCGGGGUCUUAACCUCGGAAUUGCAUUUGAAACUGGCAGGCUAGAGUCUUGUAGAGGGGUUAGAAUUUCAGGUGUAGCGGUGAAAUGCGUAGAGAUCGUAGAAGGAAUACCGAGUGGCGAAGG
rnacentral:rRNA from 1 species